rnacentral:rRNA from 1 species
UACGGGGGGGGCAAGCGUUGUUCGGAAUUACUGGGCGUAAAGGGUUCGUAGGUGGCUUGUUAAGUCAGACGUGAAAUCCCUCGGCUCAACCGGGGAACUGCGUCUGAGACUGAUGAGCUCGAGUGCAGGGGAGGAACGCGGAAUUCCAGGUGUAGCGGUGAAAUGCGUAGAUAUCUGGAGGAACACCGGUGGCGAGGCGGCGUUCUGGACUGCAACUGACACUGAGGAACGAAAGCCAGGGGAGCAAACGGG